UGUAGUAGUACACAAUGGUAUGUGUAUUCUUUUAAUUACAAUGUGCGGAAUUACUUUAGGCUGCUUUUUUGUAUCUAUUUAUUUAUCUUUCUCAUCGUUAAUCACCGUCAUCUGUACAGUGUCAACAGGGGUCGGCAUUGUUGUUUAUGUGUGUGUGACACCACAAAAACUGUAACUGGGGGUACAACGAUCUGGUACAAGUUCACAGGUAGUAAGUUACGGGUUUGACUACCGUUCCAGGGCACUUUCACGGGUAGAAGUUUGUGAAAACAUGGGUUACAGGUUGCCUGGAACGCAGCAUAAGCUACAAACUUUACCAUGG